UACGUAGGGUGCGAGCGUUGCCCGGAUUUAUUGGGCGUAAAGGGCGCGUAGGCGGCCACGCACGUCCGUUGUGAAAUCGCCCGGCUCAACUGGGCGGGGUCAGCGGAUACGGUGUGGCUCGAGCAAGCUAGGGGGCAAUGGAAUUCCCGGUGUAGUGGUGGAAUGCGUAGAUAUCGGGAGGAACACCAGUGGCGAAGGCGACUUCCUGGCCUGUUCUUGACGCUGAGGCGCGAAAGCUAGGGUAGCAAACGGG
rnacentral:rRNA from 1 species